AUGAUCAUCCAGAAGAUUGGAAAAUUGGCGUACAAGCUGCAGUUCCCUGAUCAUGUACAAAUUCACCCAGUUUUCCACGUCAGUCAGCUAAAGAAGCACAUCGGCAGUAAAUCUAUUCCUAGCCCUAAUUUGCCAAUGGUGGCAGCCGAUGGAACGAUCAAAACCGGGCCAGCUCAGGUUCUGCAAGUGAGGCAAGUACCUAGACACAAUCUGUUGGAAAUAUGCCCUAGAGGCAAUAAUAAAUGGUUAUUAUUAUAUUUCUUUGUUCAUGAUAAUUGUCUAUUGUUCAUGCUAUAA
rnacentral:rRNA from 1 species